ACCAGCUGCGUCAUCACGCAGAGCACGCAACCAGCAGGAGGAGGGAGGGGGGGAUCCCUCCGCCUCACCGCGGCACAGCGCACAGAUCCCUCCGCCAGGCUCCGACAUAUAACAUGGUCCACGCGCUCAGCGAUUGGCUGAGGAGCUCUCUCGAACUGCCGCGCUCUCAUUGGUUGGAAUCGGCUCCAGGUGAAACGUGAUUGGUGGAUGGUCGGCAAGGCAAAGCAUGAGCGCAGUGCAGACUGUGCACAGGUUGGAGCUGUCGCUCACACACUCAGCAGCUCAGUGCUUCGUCCUCUGUCGCUGUCUUCAUGGACUUUGAGGAUCUUUAUUUCCCGCUCGAUGCCUUCAGACUCCACUGUCAAUAACAAUUAAGAGCAGAAUAAAUCUUUUGUUUUUCUGCUUUCAGCAAAUCGAGUCAGUGUGCUGCUCUCCUGUUGCUAUAGCAAUAGCGGACACUGCCCCCUAUUUUAGACUUGUUUUCUGGUUGCUGUUGCCAUGGGAUUUGCAUCUCUCUCUCUCUCUCUCUCUCUCUCUCUUCGUACCUGCUGU